GGGGCCGGGAGCGAGAGUUCAGAGCUCGGUGUCCCUGCAGGGAGAGCGUGGAUUGGCAUCGUCUCUGCAAAGCAUCAUAGUUCGGUGGGAGCGGGGCUGGAAGUUUCGUGAGCUCGAGGAAUGCGGGAAGCAGAUGGGACCAGAGACGAUGGGAGUUGCCCAGAGAUGUGAUGUGUUAAAUGAAGGCUCCGUACCAACUCAAAUCAAGGCAAGAAGGGGAUGCUGCAGCUUUAAAGACGCACAAGAUGCAGCUUUAAAGACGCACAAGAUACAGCUUUAAAGAUAUACAAGAUGCAGCUUUAGAGACGCACAAGAUGCAGCUUUAGAGACACAGAAGAUGCAGCUUUAAAGAUGCACAAAAUGCAGCUUUAAAGACGCACAAGAUGCAGCUUUAAAGACACAGAAGAUGCAGCUUUCGAGACACAGAAGAUGCAGCUUUAGAGACACACAAGAUGCAGCUUUAGAGACGCACAAGAAACAGGCGGCUCUUUGAACACAGGUCAUGCUUUAUUCACAGUCUGCUUGCUGUUAUUCCAGCCUUCGUCCAGGGACCAUGCCAGGACACAAGUGACCAAAGUAAGUUACAUUAGAAAUAAUUACAAAGCAUUCUUUGCUGGGAAGAUCACCAGCCCCUCUCUCACUCUGUCACGCUAAAAUAGAGAACUCCUGGCAAAAGCUGCCUCGACGCCAGCUUCUCACUGGCUGUGAGAGGUUUUGUGCCUGGAGUUGCACACAGAGGAUCCCUGCAGCCAGUUGUAUGACUAGGAGAGAUAAUCACACUGCCAACUGGCAUGCUUAAAAGAAAAUCCCACCUUUCAUAGCUAGCCACCUAGCAAGAAAAAGUGUUGGACUGAUGCAUAGAGAAAUCCCUGUUUUGAAGCAGCCUCUUGCCCCCAGCGGCUCCUGCUGUGCUGCAGGACUGAGCUUCCCCGGAAGCACAGUGGGCAGAAAGGAAAUUGCGUCCCUGACACGUAUUUUUAAACUUGUAGGAGGAGGGACGUGGUAUCAAAGGUCAAGUGCAUCAUCCUGUCAAGGUCUCUGUGGCUUGGAUGAAUUAAAAACAAAUCAACAUUAAAAAUAAGUCAAGAGUGCUUCUCUCCCACAACUUGUCUCAGUAGGAAUUGGCCACUGAGUGAGGGUGUGAGUGAGGUACAGUGAGGGUGGCUUAGAAAGCUGAAGUAUAGGUUCCCAUCUUCCCUUUCAGUGCAGCAGCACAAUUUUAAGAAGAGUAAAUCAAGAUAUGGAAUCCCCCCACCCCUUACAAUCUGCAUCUUCCUGUGAACUCCACCUGGGACAGCGAGAGCAGGAGGCACUCUGGCACAACUGGCAGCGGGACAUGAUGAAAGGAUGAAGGGCUGUUCUAGCCAGGGAGCCUGGCCAGAAGAGCUCGAGUUUUUCAGAGCUCUUCCCGUGAAGCCAUGCCAAAUCCCUCCACAGCAGUGGCCAGCUUACCUGGAGGAAACAAGAACAGAGAUGCAGCUGUGCUCCGUGCCCCCAGCUCUGAGGGGGGCAGGGGGAAGAGGUAAGAUCACUGGAAAACAUGAGGCUGAAGCUUGCUGUGUAAGCAGUCAAGGUUUGUAGUCGCUCAGAUCUUAAAAGGUAGACUGGUCCCUGCUCAACGUGUUCUCUUCAGAUAAGCAGACUUGACAGGUAGGUUGAAGCGUGCACCCAUGUGUUUAUUUACCUUGAGGCUGAUGGGAAAGGACCAGCUAGCAAAUGCUUGCACACUGUUCCAUACCAUGUGGCAAGUCAGCGUUGACCGACAGCCACUCGGUGACAAAUUCAGAGCUACCUGUCUACUUCAGGAGAUGAGUCUUGUGGUGUCAGGUGCUCUCUAGUCAUGUGGGGAAGG